rnacentral:rRNA from 1 species
GGGGGGGGGAGGCCCGGGUUUAUUAGGGCCCGCCGGCCGGGGUAAUCGGUGGGGGCCAGGGUUUUUCGGGGUUUUUGGGGGGGAAGGGGGGGGUUGGGGGGUUUUUUAGGUGAGUGGGAAAUUCCCGGGGCUAACUUGGGGGGGUGCCAUUUCAAAUUGGAAAUUUUGGGGGCCGGAGGGGGGGAGGGGAAUUCCUUAGUUUGCGGGGGAAAUGGGUAGAGAUUUGGGAGGAACACCAGUGGGGAAGGCGGUUUUUUGGACUGUAACUGGCGGUGGGGCUGGGAAGGGUGGGGAGCAAACAGGAUUGAUACCCCUGGUAGUCCACGCCGUAAACGAUGAAUACUAGGUGUAGGGGGUGUCAUGACCUCUGUGCCGCCGCUAACGCAUUAAGUAUUCCGCCUGGGGAGUACGGUCGCAAGAUUAAAACUCAAAGGAAUUGAUGGGGGCCCGCACAAGCAGCGGAGCAUGUGGUUUAAUUCGAAGCAACGCGAAGAACCUUACCUAGACUUGACAUCUCCUGCAUUACCCUUAAUCGGGGAAGUCGCUUCGGCGACAGGAAGACAGGUGGUGCAUGGUUGUCGUCAGCUCGUGUCGUGAGAUGUUGGGUUAAGUCCCGCAACGAGCGCAACCCUUAUUGUUAGUUGCUACCAUUUAGUUGAGCACUCUAGCGAGACUGCCCGGGUUAACCGGGAGGAAGGUGGGGAUGACGUCAAAUCAUCAUGCCCCUUAUGUCUAGGGCUACACACGUGCUACAAUGGCAAGUACAAAGAGAAGCAAGACCGCGAGGUGGAGCAAAACUCAAAAACUUGUCUCAGUUCGGAUUGUAGGCUGAAACUCGCCUACAUGAAGCUGGAGUUGCUAGUAAUCGCGAAUCAGCAUGUCGCGGUGAAUACGUUCCCGGGCCUUGCACACACCGCCCGUCA